UGGCGGCAGGCCUAACACAUGCAAGUCGAACGGUAACAGGAAACAGCUUGCUGUUUCGCUGACGAGUGGCGGACGGGUGAGUAAUGUCUGGGAAACUGCCUGAUGGAGGGGGAUAACUACUGGAAACGGUAGCUAAUACCGCAUAACGUCGCAAGACCAAAGAGGGGGACCCUCGGGCCUCUUGCCAUCGGAUGUGCCCAGAUGGGAUUAGCUUGUUGGUGGGGUAACGGCUCACCAAGGCGACGAUCCCUAGCUGGUCCGAGAGGAUGACCAGCCACACUGGAACUGAGACACGGUCCAGACUCCUACGGGAGGCAGCAGUGGGGAAUAUUGCACAAUGGGCGCAAGCCUGAUGCAGCCAUGCCGCGUGUAUGAAGAAGGCCUUCGGGUUGUAAAGUACUUUCAGCGGGGAGGAAGGGAGUAAAGUUAAUACCUUUGCUCAUUGACGUUACCCGCAGAAGAAGCACCGGCUAACUCCGUGCCAGCAGCCGCGGUAAUACGGAGGGUGCAAGCGUUAAUCGGAAUUACUGGGCGUAAAGCGCACGCAGGCGGUUUGUUAAGUCAGAUGUGAAAUCCCCGGGCUCAACCUGGGAACUGCAUCUGAUACUGGCAAGCUUGAGUCUCAUAGAGGGGGGUAGAAUUCCAGGUGUAGCGGUGAAAUGCGUAGAGAUCUGGAGGAAUACCGGUGGCGAAGGCGGCCCCCUGGACGAAGACUGACGCUCAGGUGCGAAAGCGUGGGGAGCAAACAGG
rnacentral:rRNA from 1 species